ACGGAAGGCAGCAGUGGGGAAUAUUGGGCAAUGGGGGAAACCCUGACCCAGCAACGCCGCGUGAAGGAAGAAGGCCUUCGGGUUGUAAACUUCUUUUACCAGGGACGAAGACGUGACGGUACCUGGAGAAAAAGCCACGGCUGACUACGUGCCAGCAGCCGCGGUAAUACGUAGGUGGCAAGCGUUGUCCGGAUUUACUGGGUCUAAAGGGCGUGUAGGCGGAGCGGCAAGUCAGAUGUGAAAUCUUCGGGCUCAACUCGGAAACUGCAUUUGAAACUGUCGCCCUUGAGUAUCGGAGAGGCAGGCGGAAUUCCUAGUGUAGCGGUGAAAUGCGUAGAUAUACGGAGGAACACCAGUGGCGAAGGCGGCCUGCUGGACAAUAACUGACGCUGAGGCGCGAAAGCGUGGGGAGCAAACAGGAUUAGAUACCCUGGUA
rnacentral:rRNA from 1 species